UACGUAGGGGGCAAGCGUUGUCCGGAAUUAUUGGGCGUAAAGAGCGCGUAGGCGGUCCGGUAAGUCGGCUGUGAAAGUCAAGGGCUCAACCCUUGAAAGCCGGCCGAUACUGUCGGACUAGAGUCCGGAAGAGGCGAGUGGAAUUCCCGGUGUAGCGGUGAAAUGCGCAGAUAUCGGGAGGAACAUCAGUGGCGAAAGCGGCACCCUGGCAUUAGCCUGACGCUCAUGUGCGAAAGCGUGGGGAGCGAACGGG
rnacentral:rRNA from 1 species